GAUAAACCAUAAUGGAAAAGAAUAUAAAAAAGAACGUAUAUGUGUAUAUAACUGAGUUACUUUACUAUACAGCAGAAAUUAACACAACGUAAAUCAACUAUACUUCAAUUCUAAAAAAUCAAUGAAAAAAUUGUAAAUCAACUAUAUUUUAAUAAAAUUUCUUAAAAAUAAAAAAAACAAACAAAGUCCAUUUCAUAGUUGUCCUUUUCUACAUGGUCUCCCUGACUUCUAGCUCUUUUUUCAAUAAUAUUCACUCCCUCUGCAAUGCUCUUAACAAACUAUUUGUUCCUGCUAUUAGUACUCGCCUUAUCUGGCUCUCGGUUAGAAUGAGUGUGUUAUAGUCGCCUCUCCCUCUAGGUGGCAGCCUCCAGGCCAGCAGGGGCAAUCUGUCUUCUCACCCUUGUGAGCUGCGGUGCCCACCCCAAGUUUGUGGCGGGUUCUCAGAACCAGUGGCUGAAGGAAUAAAUUCAAACAAUUCUCUGAGGUUUGAACUAACGAAUCUCUGAGAACAAGAUGAGAGGGAAAGUCACAAGUUGUAACAGACUUUUUCAAAGCUGCAGGGGGCCACAAGUCCCCUCCAACCCAACCAGAUUUUCCGAGCCUGUGGGAUCUUGCAGGUUUCUAUUCCAGGCAUGCCAGUGGAUCCCUGCUGGCCUCAACCCCAGGACAAAGAAAAUGAAGCUGUGAACAUUGCACCAACAAUGAAAGGAAGAUUAGAAAUGUGAAUUUAAAAGUCAAGCGCCCAAGAACCCCAGCUAUCUCAUCAACACUUCAGAUGCCUCAGAAAUGCAUUGGAAUUUUUAAAAAUUGAUUCUACGAAUCUCCCCCUUCCACUUCUCUCCUGACCACGUGGGAUUUGCAGCAGGAUACACACGAUAUAGACACAUCCCCUGAAGUGUAAUAGAUUUGAAUUGCACACAAGUUGGUGAAUGAAUGUCUAAAUAAUUAGGAGGUUAAUUAAUCUAAAAUAGAGGAGGAUGAGAGAAAUUUGAAGCUACAGAUUCAACAGAGAGAUCUGCAGGCCUGUCUUGCCAGUGAAAAUACGGAGAGGUGAGAGACUGCAGCUAUUUAAGACGGUAACAGAUACAGUUAUGCAAAAGGACGUCAGAUUCCUCAGGACCCAUCGACUGGGCUGUGUGGUGCUUGUGGUCAAGAGGCCCCUCGGUAGCAGAGAUCAAGAACACAGAUGCUAAAGCUGAACAAUCGAGGUUCAAAUUCAAGUUUUGCUGCGUAUUCACUUUGUGACCUUGGGCAAAUUAUUUAAUCUCUCUGAACCUCAGUCUUCUUAUCUAUAAACCGGAUGACGUUAAUAGCACCCAACCUCACAGUGUUGUUGUAAUGAUUAAUUAAGCCCAUAUAUAUAGAACAUUCCAAAUACAUAAUGAAAUCUUAGUAAAUGUUAGCUAUAACUAGCUGGAAAGCAGUAUGUCCUAGAGAAGUAGCCCUCUCAAAUUUUUUGACUACGAGUCAUGGUAAGAAAUAUAUUUUCCAUCAUCACUCAGAACAUACAAACAUACGUGUUAUAGCUGUAUAUAUGGAUGUAUGUGUGUGUAUAUAUAUAUAUGGGUGUGUGUAUAUAUGGAUAUACAUAUGUAUAUUUCAUUAAACACAAGUUAUCCUUACCCAA